AGUGAACGCUGGCGGCGUGCCUAAUACAUGCAAGUCGAACGAUGAAGCCUAGCUUGCUAGGUUGAUUAGUGGCGCACGGGUGAGUAAUGCAUAGAUGACAUGCCCUUUAGUUUGGAAUAGCCACUAGAAAUGGUGAUUAAUACCAAAUACUACCUUACGAGGGAAAGAUUUAUCGCUAAAGGAUUGGUCUAUGUCCUAUCAGCUUGUUGGUGAGGUAAAGGCUCACCAAGGCUAUGACGGGUA
rnacentral:rRNA from 1 species